rnacentral:rRNA from 1 species
UGCUAGCUUCGGGGGCGCGACGGGGGUAAGAGUAGGGGGGCUGGGGUGGGUCGGAGUUAGGGUGCGUAAAGGGAACGUAGGCGGAGUGUUAAGUCAUGGGGGAAAUCCUGGAGCUCAACUCAAGAACGGCCUUGGAUACUGGCGAGCUUGAGGUCGGGAGAGGUGAGUGGAACUGCGAGUGUAGAGGUGAAAUUCGUAGAUAUUCGCAAGAACACCAGUGGCGAAGGCGGCUCACUGGCCCGAUACUGACGCUGAGGUGCGAAAGCGUGGGGAGCAAACAGGAUUAGAUACCCCAGAGUC